GGGUUCAAGUGGUUCUCCUGCUUCAGCCUCCCGAGUAGCUGGGACUACAGGUGCGCACUACCACGCCCAGCUAAUUUUUGUAUUUUUAGUAGAGAAGGGGUUUCGCCAUGUUGGACAGGAUGGUCUCGAUCUCUUGACCUCGUGAUCUGCCCACCUCAGCCUCCCAAAGUGCUGGGAUUAUACGCAUGAGACACUGUGCCCGGCCGUAGUUAUUACUAUUGUCCUUUCUGACCUGACCCUUCACCCCACCUGUGCUUCCCUUAUACCCUUAUAUACUUAAUCAUUCCUCUCUGACUUGCUAGGAUUCUUUAUAUCAAAGACCAUGAUUCAAGAAGCUGUUUGUAAACAUAAAGCACUAGUGACCCUAAGGUGUUGUUGCUGUUCUUAUUGCAGUGGACGGAAAGUCCCGGGAUUCUUUGCGAGCCUUCACCCGGACAUUCAUUGCUGUUCCUGCUAGCAAUUCAGGGCUAUGUAUUGUAAAUGAUGAGCUAUUUGUGCGGAAUGCCAGUUCUGAAGAGAUCCAAAGAGCCUUCGCUAUGCCUGCACCCACGCCUUCCUCCAGCCCGGUGCCCACCCUCUCUCCAGAGCAGCAGGAAAUGUUGCAAGCAUUCUCUACCCAGUCUGGCAUGAACCUCGAGUGGUCCCAGAAGUGCCUUCAGGACAACAACUGGGACUACACCAGAUCUGCCCAGGCCUUCACUCAUCUCAAGGUAAGGUCUGGAAAUACAGUGGCAAAAAGACUAGGAUCUCUGGGCCUCCAGGAGGUCAGGUUAGCUGAGUGGGGUUGCUGAGUGGCGAGGGUAGGCCUACCUCUACUGACCUUCAUUUUUCUCCAGGCCAAGGGCGAGAUCCCAGAAGUGGCAUUCAUGAAGUGAUCGUAGUCAUGCCUCAGAAGCAGUCCCCCCUGUAAAUAGUCCUUGGAUAUUACCGUCUGGU
rnacentral:lncRNA from 10 species